CUUAUAACUGACUGAGGAGUGUCUCAGAUUAGGAAGCAAGUCCAUUGUUCUAUUUUUUAUAGGGUAUAAUUUACUCAUUAUGAUUAUAUUUUCAAGUAAAUAAAGUUUUCCUUUUACAGAUUCCAAUAUGAUGGAUCUCUGGUGGCAUUUGCACACUGUGCUUGGAGCAGUAUUAAAUGUACAUGAAUAAAUCAAUGGACUUGAACAAAUGGUUUGUUAGGUCAUAAUAUUGUUUGUGCAGUGGAAAGUGUUAUAAUACGGCUUUGUGAGAAACUCUAUUCGCCACAACACAUUGCUGUGCAAUCAGAACUAAACAUAGUCAUGUAUAAGAAUGACAGAAAAUAAAACUUAUGUAGUGCAUACAGAAUUUUCUAUUUUUUAAAUACAUAAAUAGGUUAUAUAAUAUAGUACAAUUUUAUGUCUAAAAAUUUUCUAAAAGUAAGAAAAUAUAAGAAACCUUUCUUAAACUGAGAACAAUGAAAAAUGUCACAAGUUAAAAAGAUAAAUAGCC